UUGCUAAGGUGAAAAUUUUUUGCAGUGAGUUGAUGAAUGCUCCUGUUAGACGUAUAGAUGAAAUUCUUGCUCUGCCCCACUCAGUGGACGAUUUUAGGGAUCAAGAGGUUCCUCCAUCUGAUGAUGAUUCCUGGCUUUAUGGCGGAGAGGAAGAAUUGAACUCUGUUCUUAUGGAAAGACAAAAGGAGAUGGAGCUAUAUGACUUAAAACACAAAAAGAAAGGGAAAGCAAAAGAGGAUCAAGAUACUAGUCCAUCAUCUGCUUUGAAUGCUGACGAGUUUGAUCCUGGAGAUAUAGCAAAGACCAUGCAGUCAUUUGUCCAUAAGUUGUCAAGUUACAAGGGUGCUGAAGCUCCUGAGGACAGGAAUAUGGAAGUGGACAUUGAUGUAGACCAAUUUAUUAAAGACAUGGGAUCAAUAAUGAAGUAUUCAGACAAUGAAGCUGCCAACGGCAAUAUUGAAGAAGGAUCAUCCUCUGACCCGGACUUUGAUGAUUCUGAGAGUGAUGUGGGAGAGCUGGGGGAGGACGAUGAUGAUACUUUCUUGCGGAGCUAUUCUGACGCUAUGAAUGAAGAACUAAAGGCAACCACCCUUCAGAAAAGUUUUGUUCGUGCUAAUGAACAGAUUCCAGAGAAUCAGGGAACAUCUAAUGCAUCAGAACAUAAUAUGGACGAUGAUUUUUCUCCUGUAGAUGUGGAUGUAAAUUUAGUAAAAAGCAUUCUUGAUUCCCUUUCUUCCCAACAAGGCCUUCCUGGUCCUGCUUCUAAUUUGCUCGGCCUCAUGGGGGUGCAGUUACCACAAGAUACAAAGAAGGGCAAUUGAAGAUACUGAAAUAUUUAUCUGGGUUUAAGUUUUGGGAUUCUUCAAUGAUAUUCAUCUGGAUGGCAUGUUUCCCAACCUGCUUACUAUCCUUUAUUUUUUUCACGUUGGGUACGAACCUGCUUAGCAGAGGGCAAUGGGAAUGCUUGCUAGUAAUGGUGUAACUUCACCAGGUUUUGGCACUUGACAAGGGAGGGCUUGCCUCCAGAGAAAAGCAAGACAACGUUCAUCUGUAGCUUGUUUAUUGGAUGUAACAGGGGUCAUACAGGAGAAGAUUGAUUGUUUCUUUGGUUUGGAGCCAAAGAUAAAAGACCUCAGAGGAACCUUGGCCCGGGACUCUGAUUGUCUUAGCUGGCCAUUUUGAUGUCUUUUUGAAACCGAGAAUCCAUGUUCAUCAUUCAAGUUCACCAGAGCCUUUUCUACGUCAAGUUGGAGAGCUGAUACAACAUCUAAACCCGCUUGAAGUUCAUCAGCAACCUUGUUGUUUUCCUGUUUCAUGUUCAAAAUCUCACCUUGGAACUUGGCAGCUUGGUAGCUUGUGAACCUGAAGUCAUCAUCUUCAGCACUGGAUUUCAAUGCUGCUGUUAUAUCCUCUUGGAUGUCACACAAAGAUGAGAAUCGAUUAUGCAGUUCUUCCUUCAACACGGCACCUUUUUCCAUCCAGACAGUUAUUUCACCCUGGAUCUCUGUUAGGUGUUUGUAAAUUGGUUUUGCAUCUGAUCUUAUAGAAUACUUUAUACUACUACUACCCUCUGACGUCCUUCCUCUUUCCUGUAGUUUUGAUAGCUCGGUCUGCAAAUCUUUGAUAGUGGUUUGAAACUUCUGUAUGUCAGAGUAAUAAGCACUGAAAUUUAACCAGAAAGUUAAGUUCUUCUCUAGAAUUUCAUCCAUGUUUGACCGGAAUUUGUCUUCAAUAGGUGAAGUAGAUUGAGGUUCAACUUUUAGAACUUCCUCAAUGCCGUUCUUUUCUGAUGGCAUCACUACAGUUACCUCUGCAAGAUCUUCAUUUCCUUCAAAGCUUCUCUGCAAGAGAACUAGUUUGUGACGCAGAGUUCUUAUCUCUUCAUCUUUCGUGGCAUUGGCCGUCUUCAGUUCUUUUAGCACAGAUGAAUCAAAGUUGCUAUCUUGAUUUUUCUUCUCUAUUUCAGCCAGCCUCUUCUUGACAUCUUUAUAGUUUCGAAGAGUAGUAGUAUAUUCAGCCAGCAGAACUUGUUCUCUAUCAUGCAUUCCAUUUGUAAACAAUUUCCGCCAAUCAGGUUCAUCUUGUGCUGUUGCCUGUUCCUUGGAAUCAACUUUGAGAGAAUUCUCUAUCUCACAUGAACUUUGUUUAGCAUCAUUUUCUUGCUGUUUCUCUGAACUCUCUGAAGAACUAUCUAGCUUGUUGCUUGCUAGUUGCUGUUCGACUUCCUGAUUUUCUGUGGGGUAGUUUCUUCCAUUUCUAAGGAACUGGUGACCUCAACCUCAUUUACUGACUUGACAUCACUUUUCAAUGAACCGGUGACAUUAGCAAAUGGUGAGCCAGUGACCUCAGGCUUGUCUGAUGCUAGAUCAUCUUCGACAGUACCAGCAACCUUAAGUCCCUUAUCUGUUGCACCAUCCUCUACCAAAUCAGCUGUAGAUUCGCAUUUUAAUUCCUCUUGGGGUGAUGAAUCCUGUUGUUCAUCUGAUAAAUGUGUGGUCUUAGCCUCCUCACCUGGCUGCACGUUUUGGACUUUCUCUGAGAGAUGAUCAAGAUUAGAAUGUGCAUCAGCGAAUUGGGUUUGGAGAUUGAUAUUCUGAUCCUCAACAAUUUGGUUUAGAUCCUCUACUCCAUGCAUCUUUUUUUCCAUCUUCCUCAGUUGGUCAUUCAAUUUAUGUUUGUCGUUGAUAAGAUUUUCCUUAUCCUUUUCCAGAAUUCGAAUCUGCUCCUGAAGUUCAUCAGUUUCUGUUCUCAAUCUCUUCACCAUAGCGCUUUGCGAUGAUACUGAAGUUUCCAAACUGAUCACUUUGUUCACUAGCUCAUCAAUCUUUUCUGCCAUCUCUGCUACACUGAAUGAUGAAUUGGAGCUAGUUUCAAAGUUCUCUUUAAGGUUCUUCUUUAAUAAUUGCAGCUCCUGCUUCUUCCGAGUCAAAUCAUCGGCAUUUUCAUCUAACUCUGUUUCUGCUAUUAUUUUUAAAUCACUUUGGAUCCCUGGCUCUUGAGAAUUCUUCCGUUCAUAAUGGAAUUCGUCCAUGAGAGAGCCCACCUUGGCCUUGACAUCCUUUACCCUUUUGGACUCGAUUUUACUUUCAUCAAGUGAUUUUUCCUGUUUCUUUUCUAACUGCGUCAAUGCCUCUUGGCAUGAUUGAAGAGCAGCUCCUGCUAUCAAACGCCGAGCUUCAUCAUCUUCAAUGUCAACACCUUCUCCAAGUUCUUCAUGCAGAGAGGAAACUCUCUCUUGCAAUUCCUUUAUUUGCUCCUCAGUGUCCCAGUACCUACUAAGGGAAUUCUCAUAAGAGUUCUUUACAAAUUCUUUCACAGUUUGUAGGGCCAGAAUCUCUUUCUGCAGCUUGUCAAUCUCUUCAAGGGCAUCUUUUCUGCUCAAACCAGAUUUAGGAACUUUUGGAGUAGCAGCAGCUGCAGUGGCAGCUGCUUUCUUGGAUUGCAAUUUCUUUGUGGCUGUUGCUGCUGUUAUGACCGUUUUCAAAUCUUUAUGGGGAGGCUUUGGUAUAUUUUUCAACCCUUCUGGUUUUUUUUUUGGAAGCCUUUGUGAUGGAUCAUCGUCAUCUUCAUCCAUUAAUGGGACGCGAUCUGGAAAGACAGAAGCAAUGGUGUUGUUGGCAUUUUGUAACUCUGUUGAUAUGUGAUCAUAUCGUUCGGCUAAAGCGCGUGUAAUUUAUAUAUUUUAGAUACCCAACUAAAUUCAUUUAUAAAGGCAAAGACACAUAAAAGUGGGCUGUGUUCAUCUUACACAGUCAUCUAGCCGUGGCUCAAGCAAAUUUUUAAUUCAGUAUUCUAAUUAAUAAUA